UUAUAUGAUGGUUUUCUCCUUGCGAGAAAUUAAAAGGGAAUCAGGUUAGAAUCCUGAGCAACAGCCAUUACCGUAUUUGAUGAAGAAAAAUCAUUUGCCAUUGGGAAACUGAGAAGGCGAUUUUUCAAGCUAUGCUAUAUCAUAAGUCGGGAUACCUGCCACACAUUUUA
rnacentral:ncRNA from 1 species